UACAGAGGGUGCAAGCGUUAAUCGGAAUUACUGGGCGUAAAGCGCGCGUAGGCGGUUGGUUAAGUUGGAUGUGAAAGCCCCGAGCUCAACCUGGGAACUGCAUUCAAAACUGGCCAGCUAGAGUACAGUAGAGGGUGGUAGAAUUUCCUGUGUAGCGGUGAAAUGCGUAGAUAUAGGAAGGAACACCAGUGGCGAAGGCGACCAUCUGGACUGAUACUGACACUGAGGUGCGAAAGCGUGGGGAGCAAACAGG
rnacentral:misc_RNA from 1 species